AGUCACUGACAUUAGAUACCCUGUAGUCCUAGCCGUAAACGAUACUCGCUAGGUGUCGGCCACGGUGCGACCGUUGUCGGUGCCGUAGGGAAGCCGUGAAGCGAGCCACCUGGGAAGUACGGCCGCAAGGCUGAAACUUAAAGGAAUUGGCGGGGGAGCACAACAACGGGUGGAGCUUGCGGUUUAAUUGGAUUCAACGCCGGAAAUCUUACCGGGACCGACAGCAACAUGAAGGCCAAGCUGAAGACUUUGCCGGAUUAGCUG
rnacentral:rRNA from 1 species